GCAGUCGAACGAGAGAUGAGGAGCUUGCUCUUCAAAUCGAGUGGCGAACGGGUGAGUAACGCGUGAGGAACCUGCCUCAAAGAGGGGGACAACAGUUGGAAACGACUGCUAAUACCGCAUAAGCCCACGGCUCGGCAUCGAGCAGAGGGAAAAGGAGCAAUCCGCUUUGAGAUGGCCUCGCGUCCGAUUAGCUAGUUGGUGAGGUAAUGGCCCACCAAGGCGACGAUCGGUAGCCGGACUGAGAGGUUGAACGGCCACAUUGGGACUGAGACACGGCCCAGACUCCUACGGGAGGCAGCAGUGGGGAAUAUUGCACAAUGGGGGAAACCCUGAUGCAGCGACGCCGCGUGGAGGAAGAAGGUCUUCGGAUUGUAAACUCCUGUUGUUGAGGAAGAUAAUGACGGUACUCAACAAGGAAGUGACGGCUAACUACGUGCCAGCAGCCGCGGUAAAACGUAGGUCACAAGCGUUGUCCGGAAUUACUGGGUGUAAAGGGAGCGCAGGCGGGAGAACAAGUUGGAAGUGAAAUCCAUGGGCUCAACCCAUGAACUGCUUUCAAAACUGUUUUUCUUGAGUAGUGCAGAGGUAGGCGGAAUUCCCGGUGUAGCGGUGGAAUGCGUAGAUAUCGGGAGGAACACCAGUG
rnacentral:rRNA from 1 species